CAUGGAAACAUGGAACAGCUAAUAAAUCCUGGAUAAUACUCAGGCUGCAUUUGAUUUUGCUGUCGUCUGGUACCUGCUCUUAAUGUUGGGUGAUCGCAGUACAUAAUUUACCGGAUGGCAACAGCACCUGAAUUUUACCUGAUGGGCCAGCUGAUCCCUCUCACUCACCAAGGACCAGAGGAGAGGAUGCUGGAAAUGAACCAAUCUGCAGGGAAGGGAAACAACUCAAUAUUCAAGCUCCAUGUCAUAGAUGCAGGACUGGCUGUAUAGUUGAAAAGCCUAUUGGGAUGAAGCCAGCUGCCAUGUUGUGAGCUCUCAGUGGUGAGGCCCAUAUGGGCAGCCUCUGGCUGAUGGCCAACGAGGACGUAAGGGCCUCAGCCGUAGAGAAACUGAAUCCUGCCAACAACCACUGAGAGAUUGUAGAGGUUGAUCACCUUGAGUGAAGCCUCCAGAUGCCUGAAUGCCCAGCCCACAGCUUGACUCCCGGCUUGCGAGUGACCAGAGCCAUGCCUAGACUCCCGCCUUAUGGAAAUUGCAAGAUGACAAAUGUUUGUUGUUUUAAGCUGCUAAGUUUUGGGGUCAUUUGUUACACAGCUAUAGAUAACUGAUAGAUUAUAAAUGAACUGAAACAUAGUGAAUAAUGAAGCAAAUGAAAUAAAUUGAGGGAAAACAUAUUUAAACUGUACUUACAAUAAAGGGGUUACUGGGCUCUAGUGGAGAAAAAACUGCCCCCUAACUCAUG